rnacentral:rRNA from 1 species
AUUGAACGCUGGCGGCAGGCCUAACACAUGCAAGUCGAACGAGUGGCGGACGGGUGAGUAAUGUCUGGGAAACUGCCUGAUGGAGGGGGAUAACUACUGGAAACGGUAGCUAAUACCGCAUACCAUCGGAUGUGCCCAGAUGGGAUUAGCUAGUAGGUGGGGUAAAGGCUCACCUAGGCGACGCUCCCUAGCUGGUCUGAGAGGAUGACCCGCCACACUGGAACUUGGACAAGGGCCAGAAGCCCACGGGAGGCAGCAAGGGGGAAUUAUUGAAAAUUGGGGGAAGGCUGAUGGAGCCCUGCCGGGUGGAAGAAGAAGGCCUUCGGGUUUUAAAGUACUUUCAGGGGGGAGGCGUUACCCGCAGAAGAAGCACCGGCUAACUCCGUGCCAGCAGCCGCGGUAAUUC